rnacentral:rRNA from 1 species
CUUAGUGGCGGACGGGUGAGUAACGCGUGGGCAACCUGACCCCGUGCCGGGGGAUACCGCCUGGAAACAGGCGCUAAUACCGCAUAAGCGCAUACAGCCGCAUGGGUGUAUGCGGAAAGCUCCGGCGGCACGGGAUGGGCCCGCGCCCGAUUAGCCAGUUGGCGGGGUAACGGCCCACCAAAGCGACGAUCGGUAGCCGGCCUGAGAGGGCGGACGGCCACAUUGGGACUGAGACACGGCCCAAACUCCUACGGGAGGCAGCAG